rnacentral:rRNA from 1 species
UACGGGGGGUGCGAGCGUUGUCCGGAAUCACUGGGCGUAAAGGGCGCGUAGGUGGUUUGAUAAGGGUGUGGUGAAAGCCCGGGGCUCAACCCCGGGUCUGCCGUGCCGACUGUUAAACUCGAGGGCUGUAGAGGCAGACGGAAUUCCGGGUGUGGCGGUGGAAUGCGUAGAGAUCCGGAGGAAGACCGGUGGCGAAGGCGGUCUGCUGGGCAGUUCUGACACUGAUGCGCGACAGCGUGGGGAGCAAACAGG